UACAGAGGUCUCAAGCGUUUGUUCGGAUUCAUUGGGCGUAAAGGGUGCGUAGGCGGUCGGGUAAGUCUGACGUGAAAUCUUCAAGCUCAACUUGGAAACUGCGUCCGAUACUAUUCGGCUAGAGGAAUGGAGGGGAGACUGGAAUACUUGGUGUAGCAGUGAAAUGCGUAGAUAUCAAGUGGAACACCAGUGGCGAAGGCGAGUCUCUGGACAUUUCCUGACGCUGAGGCACGAAAGCCAGGGGAGCAAACGGG
rnacentral:rRNA from 1 species